GCAAAAUUAAAAGAAAAAGCCAUAGAUGUCUUAGAGUUCCUUUGUACAUCUGUGUUGUGUUUCAUGAUUCUGUGGGAAUCCCCUUGUAAGUUGGGUUAGCACUUUACAAUUUGUAAUCUGGAUGAUUAUAGUGAAAUUCCAUCAUUGUUGUGAUGGAGACUGGAUGUAGGCUGCACUGCACUUAGCAGCUGAACCAGGAUAUAUCUGGGUGUAA